ensembl:lncRNA
AUGCAAAUGAAGCAAAUUACUAUGCAAACCUGCAGCUCCUCUCGGAGCCUCAACUUGGGUGGCUUUCCUAACGCUGCUGAGAGGCGGAGCCGGAACUUGUUAGGGCAACUAUCCCUGGACAGUUCUCCUGGCUUUGCUUUCAUCCCGUCCGAUGGCCACCUGGACUGCGCAUGCCUCCAGACAUGGCAGGAGAAACUUCCAGAUGUCAGGGCAGACCGGAUUCCAGCCGUGAGAUGAGAAAUAUUGGCCAGACCAGGGUCUUCCAUCUGCUCUAAAGAAAUGGACCUGAAGGUUCUUCUGAUCUGAAUGAAGUUCCCAUGGAAACCCCUCAGACUGGGAAGCUGAGGCAGGAGAAUGCUAUCUUAGUGUUACUGUUGCUGUAAUGAAACCAUCAUGGCCAAAAGCAAUUUUCUUUGGAUUACACUUCCAUGUGAACUCAAACAAGGCAGGAGCUGAGGCAGAGGCCAUGGAGGGGUGCUGCUCACUGGCUUGCUCCCCAUGGCUUGUUCAGCCUGCUUUCUUAAAGAACUCUGGACCACCAGCCCAGGGAUGGCCCCGCCCACAACAGGCUGGGCCCUCCCAGAUCAAUCACUAAUUGAGAAAAUGACCUACAGGCAGAUCUUGUGGAGGCAUAUUCUCAAUUAAAGAUCCCUCCUUUUGGAUAACUUUAGCUUGUGUCAAGUUGACCUAAGAUUAGCCAUCACAGGUGACAAGUUCAAGACCAGCCUAACCUACAGAGUGAGUUCUAGGCUGAAAUUAUACAAACAAAACUAAUAUUCAAGGCCAGGGCUGGGAAGAUAGUUCAACUAGUCAGAUACUUGCUGUGCAAGCAAUGGGAGCCUGAGAUCAACCUUCAGAACCCACAGUGCUAGAGAGGCAGGCAGAGUCAGGAGGAUCCCUGGCCUCACUGGCCAGGCACCCUCACAUAAUCUAAAGUCCCAUGUUCCCUUGAGAUACCCUGCCUUGUUUCAAAAACAGAGCAAAACCAAGCAGAACCCACAAUGAACAGUUCCUGGAAAACACUGUCUAAGCUUGCCCUCUGUCCUUACACAUACACACACACACACACACACACACACACACACACACACACACACACACACACAUACACAUAUACACACACAUGAAUACUGCCCCCACUCCAAAACUAUCCACACCCACCAAGUCUCCAGUCUGGGACACACACCAUCAUACAUAAAAAUCCUGCUGUAAAAGGAUACAGGCCAACAUGUAAACAUAGGAAAUCAUGAAUGUAGACACAGGGAAUGCUCCUUGCAGAUACACCAGGACCUAUCCACCAUGCCUCGGCCCUCUCUCACACAAUAUCACACCCAUGGGCCCACACACUGUCAUUGUCUGAAGUGAGCCUAGGGCUAGCCCUAGAACUUAGAGGGUGUCCAUCGACAGGUCCCCCCACUUCCCUCAACCUCCGACUGACCAGAUGAUGGAAGCUGCCACAUCCCAAGAGAACUCUCCAUCACUGCUAGCCUGCCUGCUGAUAGGCAGGUACACCGAGGCCCGGCUGUGCAGAAGGGGUGACGUGUAAAUAAGAUGACGAUAACGAGGCCCACCAGCACCUCCUCCAGCCUCCACACCCAACACCAGGAUAGACCGUGAGUUGGCUCUGAGCCUCCCCUACACUCAGACCUCUGCAGGAUGCAAAAGCACCCUGGGCUUAGAUGGACGCCAACUCCCACUGGGAAGAGAGAAGAGCCACCUCCCAAAGCCAGGAUUGGGAGACCACAGGCAGCCCGCUACUCCCCUGCUGACCACUGAUCAAUGAAAGUCAACAGAAUGUCAGACAGAGAAGCAGAUCUGGGGACCCCACAAAUCUAUCACAAAACAUCUGCUUGAUGGACUCUCCCACCCAGUCCCUCCGGCCUAAUCUUUGUGACUCAGUCUCGUUUUCAUUCAUUCGUUCACUCACUCAUUUGNNNNNNNNNNUCCAUCCAUCCAUCCAUCCAUCCAUCCAUCCAUCCAUCCAUCCAUCCAUCCGUUUGUCUUCUAACUUAUUCUGCCAAUAAAAACAUGAAGGAAAUCA